AGGAGAUAGAGGAAGAGGAGUAGAAGGAGAUAGAGGAAGAGGCAUAGGUAGAGGAAAAGGUAAAGAAGGACUUGAAAAGUUGAUAGAACAUGAACAAAGAAGACGAGGACCAAAUUUGACUCAAGAAAUCCGUGCAACACUUAUUGACCAUGUUAUCAACCAUGGACUGACACUGAUGGAAGCUGGACAAAGAGUUCAACCAAAUCUCAGCAGAAAUACAGUUGCGUCUGUAAUUCGGACAUUUCAUCCAGAAAACACGUAAGCUAACCACACAGUACAAUGAAACUGACGCUUGCUGUACUAAUCAUCAAUAUUGUUUAUUGUGACAUUUAACAGUAGGCUGCAUGUGUAUUUUUUUUACAUAGGAUUGAGGGUCGAGGACACCAAGGUGGAAGGGGCCCUAUGUUCACUCGUGCACAAGAGGCCGCAAUCGUAAACAUGGUUUUGACCAAUAAUUGUAUCAGGCUGCGAGAAAUCCAAGCCAAUAUCAUCAAUGAUGACCAAAUUUUCAAUGACAUCCAACGAGUAUCUCUGUCAACCUUAGGUCGAAUCCUCAAGAGAAAUCAAAUAAACAUGAAGCAACUGUAUCGGGUACCACUUGACAGAAAUUCAGAGAGACUGAAACAUCUGCUCAAUGAGUAUGUGGAGAGAGUCUUGCAGAUGAAUGCUGCAGAAAUUCAACAUGAAUUUAUAUACGUGGAUGAGGCUGGAUUUAACCUUACGAAAACAAGAAGACAAGGGAGAAAUAUUGCACGAGAUUGUCACAGCAUUAAACCAAGUGGACCAGAUGCGGUACAUUGUCGUUUGGGACAAUGUCUCAUUCCAUCGGGCUGCUCUGGUCCGGAAUUGGUUCCAUGAGCACCCUGAAUUUGAAGUAUUAUACCUUCCCCAUACUCCCCCGUCCUGAAUCCAAUAGAAGAGUUUUUUUCAGCAUGGCGGUGGAAGGUAUACGACCUGCGGCCCUAUGACCGUUUGCCCCUCAUUCAGGCCAUGGAGCAGGCCUGUGAUCAUAUCGAAGCAGCUUCUGUGCAGGGGUGGAUUCGUCAGACAAGGCGAUUCUUCCAACAGUGUCUUUCCAAUGAAGACAUAGCCUGUGAUGUAGAUGAAAUCUUAUGGCCUGAUCCAGCCAGACGGAGAGAUGAUGAAUAGUUACAGUAUUUUUGUUGCUUUUACAGUAGU